GGGGUCGUAGCUCAAUGGCGGAGCAAGUUCCUUGCAAGAACGAGGUUAUCGGUUCAAGUCCGAUCGACUCCA
rnacentral:tRNA from 2 species